rnacentral:rRNA from 1 species
UAUUGGACAAUGGGCGCAAGCCUGAUCCAGCAAUACCGCGUGUGUGAAGAAGGCCUUAGGGUUGUAAAGCACUUUCAAUUGGGAGGAAAACCUGCCGGUCAAUACCCGGUAGCUUGACAUUACCUUUAGAAGAAGCACCGGCUAACUCCGUGCCAGCAGCCGCGGUAAUACGGAGGGUGCGAGCGUUAAUCGGAAUUACUGGGCGUAAAGCGUGCGUAGGCGGUUCGUUAAGUCAGAUGUGAAAGCCCUGGGCUCAACCUGGGAACUGCAUUUGAAACUGGCGGACUAGAGUUUAGUAGAGGGGAGUGGAAUUUCAGGUGUAGCGGUGAAAUGCGUAGAUAUCUGAAGGAACACCAGUGGCGAAGGCGACUCCCUGGACUAGAACUGACGCUGAGUGCGAGA